rnacentral:rRNA from 1 species
AAGUAGAGCAUAAUCUUGAAACUGUUAGGGUGAAUCUUUGACUGGUUCCGCAAGCACAAAGGCUUAGUCCUGACUUUACUGUCGGCUCUAGCUAGACUUACACAUGCAAGUAUCCGCACCCCCGUGAGAAUGCCCACCUUGUUUCCCCGCCCGGAAACAAGGAGCCGGUAUCAGGCACGACUAAACCCAGCCCAUGACACCUUGCUUAGCCACACCCUCAAGGGACAUCAGCAGUGAUAAACAUUAAGCCAUAAGUGAAAACUUGACUUAGUUAAAGCUUAGAGAGCCUGGGAUUAGAUACCCCACUAUGCUCAGCCCUAAAAUUCGAUAGGUCACUACGCCCCCUAUCCGCCCGGGUACUACGAGCAUCAGCUUAAAACCCAAAGGACUUGGCGGUGCUUCACAUCCGUCUAGAGGAGCCUGUUCUAUAACCGAUAACCCCCGUUAAACCUCACCCUCCCUUGUUAAUCCCGCCUAUAUACCGCCGUCGUCAGCCUACCCUGUGAAGGACUAGAAGUGAGCAAGAUUGGUAAGACCCAAAACGUCAGGUCGAGGUGUAGUAUAUGAGAGGGGAAGAAAUGGGCUACAUUUCCUGAAUCAGGAAAUACGAACAAUGAACUGAAAUAAGCAUUAGAAGGUGGAUUUAGCAGUAAGUAGAAAAACAGAGUGUUCUGCUGAAGUUAAUGGCAAUAAAGCACGUACACAC